rnacentral:tRNA from 1 species
GUUUCUGUGGUGUCAUGUACUGCACAUUAGGUUUUCAUCCUAAAGGAAUAACGUAAAGUUAUUAGAAAUA